AAGAAAAGAGAAUUAGCCGUGGUCAAUGUGUUUACAACACAGACAUCCCCAGAUGUUGGAAUUUAUUUUUUUAACCCCAGGAAGCCAGUUAUUAACAUGCACCACCAAAGGAGAGGAUAGAGGUAGCUGACAGGGAAGUCUAAGAAGAUACUAAAGCAUUUUCAGCUUCAAACAUGUGCUACCUGACUAGAUGGAAUUCCUUGAGAACUGUAUUAACAUGUUUCAAAGAGUUGAAUUAACAGAUGGAGUUUCGCUCUUGUUGCCCAGGCUGGAGUGCAAU
rnacentral:lncRNA from 1 species